rnacentral:tRNA from 1 species
AGGUGGGUUGACAGAUCGGCUAUGUACUCGCCUGCAGAGCGAGUUAGAAGAGUUCAACUCUCUUACCCACCUA